GGAGUCUAGCAUGUGCGCGAGUCAUUGGGACUAACUAAACCUAAAGGCGCAAUAAAAGUGAAAGUCCGUCUCGUACGGACCGAGGGAGGAUGGGCAGGGUCAAACCUGCCUCGCACUCCCGGGGCGUCUCGUUCUCAGCUUGCGAGAGGAGGCGCACCCAGAGCGUACACGCUGGGACCCGAAAGAUGGUGAACUAUGCCUGGUCAGGACGAAGUCAGGGGAAACCCUGAUGGAGGUCCGUAGCGAUUCUGACGUGCAAAUCGAUCGUCGGAACUGGGUAUAGGGGCGAAAGACUAAUCGAACCAUCUAGUAGCUGGUUCCCUCCGAAGUUUCCCUCAGGAUAGCUGGCGCUCGCAUAUGCGAGUCUCAUCUGGUAAAGCGAAUGAUUAGAGGCAUUGGGGUCGAAACGGCCUCAACCUAUUCUCAAACUUUAAAUGGGUGAGAACUCGGGCUUGCUUAAACACACAAACCAAAUGAAGCCACGAGUUCUAAAUAAAUGUUUAUAGCGUAUAUUUAUAAGGAUCAGAGUGCCAAGUGGGCCACUUUUGGUAAGCAGAACUGGCGCUGUGGGAUGAACCAAACGUGAAGUUAAAGCGCCUAAAUCGACGCUUAUGGGAUACCAUGAAAGGCGUUGGUAACUUAAGACAGCAGGACGGUGGCCAUGGAA
rnacentral:rRNA from 1 species